CGCAUCAAAGACGGUUACUCAGAGCUACAAAAUUGUCUCGUCAUGGAAUAAAUUCUCAAUUCGUGUAUUUGUGAAAGACGACGGGAUAAGUUUUUCAUUUUUUAAAUAAUACAUCGGUACAGUCGGUGAAUAUGAUUUGCUGUCAAACAGUCUCCUCACAAAACAAGCAUUUCGGGAUGAGCGAGAAGAUGGCAAAAAGAAAUAAAAGAACGCAGAAAUUGGCCUGUCGGUCGAUCAACCCGUUUAUACACUAUUAUUGGCAGCUACGUGAUUCUCUCGGCAGACAUUAUUCCUCGCAAAUGAUCGGCAAGAUCGCGGCGUACCGCUGGGAAUUCAUGCGGUAUCAUGACAGGCUGCCAUACAUUCAGGCCGCCAAACAGCAGUUACUCCGCCGAAGAAGAGCAGCAAAAUCUCGCAAAUACUGAGAAUACAAGAAAUCCAUUUCCGCAUAUGCCGCCGCGAAUAUAUCCAGUAAUUUCCUGCGAAGCAAAUCUGGCAUCAAUCUGACGUCCGUUUCACCUAUCAGAUACAUAUUUCCAUUGAAAAAGGCUCGAGUGUACUGUAAUUGGCAGUUCCUCUGCGCGAUAGGAUCGCAAAAUAUACACCUGCUGUAAUUCUUCCGAUCCACCUAAACGCAAUCUAUCCUCGUACGCUCUGACACAAGACUCGCACGAACACACAUACACGUCUUUUUAUAUCAUGAAAAAUUCAAAAGGCAGCAUGAAGUUCCAAUACAUUCAAACCGUCAAGGAGUUUGAGUUGCUCCCAAGAAAAGCGAUAAAGCCGCGAUCAUAAAUUCUUACCGAUACACAUAGAUCAUUGGUACCAUUGUUACACGUCAAACGUUGUUAG